UGAAACUGAUCAGGCAGCCUCCAGCUCCAUAAUUAGGGCCAAUUGAAGGAGACAAAGAAAUCUAUGGAGAUCACAGUGGGAAGUGGUAGUGAUGAACGCUGGCUUUGAAACAGCGUUUUGUACUCACUGGACCAUCACUGUCUUUACAUAAAAGCUGCCUGCCUCCUUUCCCUCACUCCCCUCCCUGGGAGCAGAGGCCGCCGGGGAGGCAGGCUCCAGACAGCCCCUCCAGCAAUUGCCUUUUCUGGGUCAGGCCUCAUUUCUCGUGGCACGACAGGAGGAGGACGGGGGGCGGGUGAGGCCUCCUCUUUUGUUUUUUUGUGUUUUGGCAGUGGGUAAAGACAAAAGGCAGGCAUGAAAAGCCCCCACUCUCACAUGCAUCUGAAUAUGGGGGUGCUGCAGGAAGGUGACUCACUCACUGGCAUGCUGGGAGAGCACAGGGCCCGUGUGUGAGUUUGCGUGCGAAUGUGUGAGCAUGUGUGAGUUCCUGCGUGUGUGACUUCAGGCGUGUGUGUGUGUGUGUUUGUGUGUGUGUUGGAAUGGGGGUGGGGGGCGGUCCUGGAAAGGCCGAGAGCCUUGGAAUCUGAGGAGUCUGCAGCCCAUUCUUGAUACUGCUUUACUUUCCAAAAAGUUAUGACAACAAAACCACCCUGGGGCCCAGACCUGGAAGCCGUCAGCUAUGGAGGACCCUGGAAGCAGGCAGAGAAAGGUUUGGAGUUUUCAGUGCGAUGACACCAGCGUGCCUGCGGAAGUGGCUGUGUCUCCUCUUGCCUCCUUCCCCACCCAAUUCCGCCCCAGGAGCCCAGGGAUGGAGGCCCAGGAGACGGAUCCCACAAGAGCCAGCACCCACUCCACCCCAGGUAGCUGGCAGUAUCUGUCUCUUCAAUCUGACUGAUCACCCAACUUGGGGUGGGGAGCUUUGAAAAAUGUAGACUCCCAGGCCCCACCCCAGAUCCUCUGGCUGGGAUUUGCUGGGUGGUAGAAACCCAAGGAAGUUUGUGUUUUCUAGAACCCCAUAAGAUUCGGAUGCAGCCAGUGGGGGACAGGAACUUCAGCAGGGGAAGCCGCAGCCCUGGGUGUAGACCCCAUCCACUCGUGCCUGAUGCAGCCCUCCUCUCAAGGAAGGGCGAGCUCACUGAAGGGGACAGGUCACAGGUCAGCCCAAUUCACCCUGAGCACAGAAAUGCACACUGCAUUUAGGACGGCCGGAUUGCUGGACCAAACCUGUCUCUCUGUCCCCUGCACACAUAUGCACAUGCGCAUGCACAGAGACGCAUGCUGAACUUCUACGGAAGAGGAGAGCGGUAGGACCAGGCUCUCCAGGGUCCUGCCUUGGGGUCUCUCCCCACAACUGUGGCAUAAACCUCUCUCCAGAAACAGAGGGCCUGAUAACCCGUCAGCUCCCCAGAAUCCGAAUCCUAAAAGGCUCUCCCCAGGGUUCGUCCGGCUUCAGCAGAGACCCUUCCCACCCAGGCCGGAGCUUCUCCCUCUCCCUACACGCUUUUCCACUGUGAGACUGGAACAUCAUCGGGACAGCCCAGAAUGUCCUCUUCCCCUGCAGGAGCUCAGCAAACAUCCACAGAGUGAACAUUCCAAGCAACAUAGUCCAGGAGCCACGUUCCAGCCAUGGGGCCUCUGCACUGCUGUUCUCUUCACAUGGCCUGCCCUUCCCCCAGAAAGAGAGAAGAGGCCCUCUCUGGUUGUCCCAUCAAAACUCCACCCUUCUCUCACCCUCCUCCCAGCUGUAUCCCUUCUCUGCAGCCCUAACAUGCAUUCCACUUUAUUUCCCUUGUCUACUGUCUGCCUCUCUAACUACUAAGUCAGUUCCAGCCGCUCCAGGAUUUUUGUCUUUUCAGUUUAGCCCUGGUUCCUCAGGGCCUUAGUGACUAGUGUGUAGUGCCUAGCAGCCAGUAGAUGCUCAAUAACUGCUUGCUGAUUGACUGGGGUGAGCUCCCCAUCCAUGGAGCUAUUUCAAGCCAAGCCUAGACGAUCUUUCAGGGCUAGUUCUAACCUAAGACUUGGUAGUUCCAUGACUCUCUUCCUGGCCCAGACCGAAAAGGAACUUUCAGCAGGAACCCGGGACUGGGAUCUGAGAUGGGGCUCCUUGGAGGACUCUGACUAGGAAGAGAGACGGGAGGCCGCACCAAAAACACAAGCCCUUCAUGGGUCUCCCAGGCGUAGGUCUGGGGAAUCCCCCAGGCCCCUCAGGAUCGACCCUGCUGGCCCUGGAUCUCCAGGACGCGUCCCUCUGACCUGCCUGCCCGGCCUGUGAGUCCCCGGCAGCAACCGCUGCAGACACAGGCUGCCCAGCGCCAGGGCCAGGCCGGAUUAUCAUACAUUAAGACAUAAUUACUCUGCGGAAAUUUACAAUACAAAGCGCCCUCCCCAAGUUGGCUUCAGAAGGAUUCCAAGGAUACAAAGACCUGCUGUGUCUGCCACCGACCCAAGCUGGCCCCAGCCAGAAUUUCAAAAGAAGUGGGUGGGUUAGUUUUUGGAAAAACCCCAUUCUACCCUCCAGGCAGAAGCCCCGCCCCAAGGGUAGAGCCCUCUGAUACCCCAAGCCCCACCCAGAGGGGAGGGUCCCCUCCACCCCGACCAGCGUUGCUCCUAAACCACUCGGGUUCCCCCAAGCCCAGAAGCUCCAAGCUGACACCACCAAGGUCACCCCACUUCUCCCAAGUUCUCUCUUUUUAGACUAUUUAGGCCUAAGGGCAGAAAGAACCUUAAAUCCCAAGAUGCUAGCUUUUGACCUGCAGAGAGGUGUGGCAGCCCACUGACAUUGAUUAAGCGCCUGCUGUGUGCCUGGUACUGUGCCAGCAUCAGGAUGCCACAGAGAACAAGACAAACCAGAUCGCUGUGCUGGGGGGAGCUUACAGUCCAGUUGAGGAGACGCAGUAAGAUGCUAAAAAAAAAAAAAAUGCACAUCAGGUGUGCAGGAUGGGUGAGUGACCGGGGUGCACGGUGGCCAGAGAGCCUCAAAGGUGGCAUCUGAGCAGAGGCCUGAAUGAGCAAGAGAGACUAGCCUGUGCAAAGGCCCUGAGGUGGGGCCAUGUGUGGUGAGGGGUAGUGGAGGCAGAGAAUGCUGGCUUUUACUCUCAAGAGGGUUUCCAGCAGGGAAGCUGCCUGAUUCGGGGGACACUUGGCCUGCUGUUCUGUUAGAUUCCUGCAUCUACCACCUCCUGGCCCUGGGAUGCUGGGCAAGUCAGUUAGCCCUUUAAGCUUUUGUUCCUCCCUGCAAAAUAAAAACAGUAACCACAGCUAACACACGCUUGUUGCACAGAACAAGACAGAGAAAGUCGGGAAAGGGAGGGCCAUGCAUGUGAGGGGCGGGGGAGAAGCUCUCUGAGCCUUAGCUGCCCCA
rnacentral:lncRNA from 1 species